rnacentral:rRNA from 1 species
CAGUAGCCGCGGUAAAACGUAGAUGGCAAGCGUUGUCCGGAAUUAUUGGGCGUAAAGCGCGCGCAGGCGGAUCAGUUAGUCUGUCUUAAAAGUUCGGGGCUUAACCCCGUGAUGGGAUGGAAACUGCUGAUCUAGAGUAUCGGAGAGGAAAGUGGAAUUCCUAGUGUAGCGGUGAAAUGCGUAGAUAUUAGGAAGAACACCAGUGGCGAAGGCGACUUUCUGGACGAAAACUGACGCUGAGGCGCGAAAGCCAGGGUAGCGAACGGGAUUAGAUACCCCUGUAGUCCCUGUCUCUUAUACC